rnacentral:rRNA from 1 species
GUGCCAGCAGCCGCGGUAAUACAGAGGUCUCGAGCGUUAGGCGGAAUCACUGGGCUUAAAGCGUGUGUAGGUGGAUCGUUAAGUACCUUGUGAAAUCCCACGGCUUAACCGUGGAACUGCUUGGUAUACUGGCGGUCUUGAGCCAGCUAGGGGCUACCGGAACAAAUGGUGGAGCGGUGAAAUGCGUAGAUAUCAUUUGGAACGCCAAUGGUGAAAACAGGUAGCUGGGGCUGUGCUGACACUGAGACACGAAAGCCAGGGGAGCAAACGGGAUUAGAUACCCCGGUAGUCC